AGUGGCGAACGGGUGAGUAAUGCAUCAGAACAUGCCUAGUAGGGGGGGAUAGCUCGGCGAAAGCCGAAUUAAUACCGCAUAAUAUCUACGGAUGAAAGUGGGGGACCGCAAGGCCUCACGCUAUUGGAGUGGCUGAUGUUAGAUUAGGUAGUUGGUGGGGUAAAGGCCUACCAAGCCGACGAUCUAUAGCUGGUUUGAGAGGACGACCAGCCACAUCGGGACUGAGACACGGCCCGAACUCCUACGGGAGGCAGCAGUGGGGAAUUUUGGACAAUGGGGGCAACCCUGAUCCAGCAAUGCCGCGUGCAGGACGAAGGCCUUAGGGUUGUAAACUGCUUUUGUAUAGGACGAAAAGGUCAUGAUUAAGAGUUGUGAUUGAUGACGGUACUAUAAGAAUAAGCACCGGCUAACUACGUGCCAGCAGCCGCGGUAAUACGUAGGGUGCGAGCGUUAAUCGGAAUUACUGGGCGUAAAGCGUCCGCAGGGCGGCGUGGGUAAGACAGAUGUGAAAUCCCUGGGCUCAACCGAGGAACUGCAUUUGUGACUGUCAUGCUAGAGUACAGCAGAGGGAGGUGGAAUUCCGCGUGUAGCAGUGAAAUGCGUAGAUAUGCGGAGGAACACCGGUGGCGAAGGCGACCUCCUGGGCUUGUACUGACGCUCAUGGACUAAAGCGUGGGGAGCGAACAGGAUUAGAUACCCUGGUAGUCCACGCCCUAAACGAUGUCAACUGGUUGUUGGGGAUUUAUUUUUUCAGUAACGAAGCUAACGCGUGAAGUUGACCGCCUGGGGAGUACGGCCGCAAGGUUGAAACUCAAAGGAAUUGACGGGGACCCGCACAAGCGGUGGAUGAUGUGGUUUAAUUCGAUGCAACGCGAAAUACCUUACCUACCCUUGACAUGGCAGAGACUUUCCAGAGAUGGAUUGGUGCUCGCAAGAGAAUCUGCACACAGGUGCUGCAUGGCUGUCGUCAGCUCGUGUCGUGAGAUGUUGGGUUAAGUCCCGCAACGAGCGCAACCCUUGUCAUUAGUUGCCAUCAUUUAGUUGGGCACUCUAAUGAGACUGCCGGUGACAAGCCGGAGGAAGGUGGGGAUGACGUCAAGUCCUCAUGGCCCUUAUGGGUAGGGCUACACACGUCAUACAAUGGCUGGUACAAAGGGUUGCCAACCCGCGAGGGGGAGCUAAUCCCACAAAACCAGUCGUAGUCCGGAUUGCACUCUGCAACUCGAGUGCAUGAAGUCGGAAUCGCUAGUAAUCGUGGAUCAGCAUGUCACGGUGAAUACGUUCCCGGGUCUUGUACACACCGCCCGUCACACCAUGGGAGCGGGUCUCGCCAGAAGUAGUUAGCCUAACCGCAAGGAGGGCGAUUACCACGGCGGGGUUCGUGACUGGGGUGAAGUCGUAACAAGGUAGCC
rnacentral:rRNA from 1 species